rnacentral:lncRNA from 10 species
CCUGGCCCUUUUUUUUGGGGGAUGGAGUCUCACUCUUGUUGCCCAGGCUGGAGUGCAAUGGCACAGUCUCGGCUCACUGCAACCUCCGCCUCCCAGGUUCAAGCGAUUCUCCUGCCUCAGCCUCCUGAGUACCUGGGAUUACAGAUGCUUGCCACCACACCUGGCUAAUUUUUGUAUUUCUAGUAAAGACAGGAUUUCACCAUGCUGACCAGGCUGGUCUCAAACUCCUGACCUCAGAUGAUCCACUCGCCUUGGCCUCCCAAAGUGUUGGGAUUACAGGCGUGAGCCACCAUGCCUGGCCUUUUAUUUUUAUUAUUUUAUUUUAUUUAUUUAUUUAUUUUAUUUAUUUAUUUUUAUGAGACAGAGUCUUGCUCUGUCACCCAGGCUGGAGUGCAGUGGCACGGUCUCGGUUCACUGCAACCUCCGCCUCCCAGGUUCAAAUGAUUCUCCUGCUUUAGCCUCCUGAGUAGCUGGGAUUACAGGCACGCACCACCACGCCAGGCUAAUUUUUGUAUUUUUAGUAGAGACGGGGUUUCACCAUUUUGGCCAGGCUGGUCUUGAAUUCCUGACUUCGUGAUCCGCCUGCCUCAGCCUCCCAAAGUGCUGGGAUUACAGGCGUGAGCCACCACACCUGGCCUAUUUUAUUUUUUUGAGAUGGAGUCUUGCUCUGUUGCCCAGGCUGGACUGCAGUGGUGCCAUCUUGGCUCACUGCAACCUCCGCCUCUGGGGUUCAAGUGAUUCUCCUGCCUCAGCGUCCCGAGUAGCUGGGAUUACAGGCGCAAGCCACCAUGCCCGGCUAAUUUUUGUAUUUCUUUUUUUUUUUUUUUUUUUUUGAGAUGGAGUCUCACUCUUGUCGCCCAGGCUGGAGUGCAACAGUGCGAUCUUGGCUCACUGCAACCUCUGCCUCCCGGGUUCAAGCGAUUCUCCUGCCUCAGCCUCCCGAGUAGCUGGGAUUACAGGCGCAAGCCACCAUGCCCGGCUAAUUUUUGUAUUUCUUUCUUUUUUUUUUUUUUGAGAUGGAGUCUCACUCUUGUCACCUAGGCUGGAGUGCAACGGUGCGAUCUUGGCUCACUGCAACCUCUGCCUCCCGGGUUCAAGCGAUUCUCCUGCCUCAGCCUCUUGAGUACCUGGGAUUAUAGAUGCCUGCCACCAUGCCCGGCUAAUUUUUGUAUUUGUAGUAGAGACAGGGUUUCACCAUAUUGAACAGGCUGGUCUCGAACUCCUGACCUCAGGUGAUCUGCUCGCCUCAGCCUCCCAAAGUGCUGGGAUUACAGGCGUGAGCCACCAUGCCCAGCCUUUUACUUUUAUUAUUUUAUUUAUGUAUUUAUUGAAACAGAGUCUCACUCUGUCACUCAGGCUGGAGUGCAGUAGCGCAAUCUCGGCUCACUGCAACCUCUGCCUCCCGGGUUCAAGCGAUUCUCCUGCCUCAGCCACCUGAGUAGCUGGGACUAUAGGCACGUGCCACCACGCCCAGCUGAUUUUUGUUUUUAGUAGAGACGAGGUUUCACCAUGUUGGUCAGGCUGGUCUUGAACCCCUGACCUCAUGAUCCGCCUGCCUUGGCCUCCCAAAGUGCUCGGAUUACAGGUGUGAGCCACCACCCCCAGCCCUAUUUUUAUUUUUUUAAAGAACUUUCCUUACCCAUUUCAUUUUCAGCCUGCAGUUUCUAUUGUGAGGAGUUUCAUAUGCCAGGAAAAACGUGGUCUCUCGGUGCAUGUGACUUCCUGCCAGGGUCCUCAUCAGUAUGAGUCUACCUUACAGGGAGUUGACAAAACUGGCAGCACUGUGCAGCAUGCAGGCACACAGUGGACACUUAGUUUUCAUUGUUCCCUCUCAUUCUAAAACUACCUUUUUCCAAACUCCUAAUAUUCCAAAUUGAUGGCAGGGGUGAACGUAGGGGAGACAGUGCUUUACCCAUGAUCUGAGCCCACAAAUAUGUUUUUAAUUUUUUUCUUUUUUUUUUUUUUGAGGUGGAGUCUCCCUCUGUUGCCAGGGUGGAGUGCAGUGGUGAGAUCUUGUCUCACUGCAACCUCCGCCUCCCAAGUUCAAGUGAUUCCCCUGCCUCAGCCUCCCGAGUAGUUGGCACUACAGGCGCGUGCCAUGGCACCUGGCUGUUUUUAAUUUUGUAUGUAUUUUUAAUUUUUAAAAUAGAGAUGGGAGCUGCGUGCGGUGGCUCACAUCUGCAAUCCCAGCACUUCGGGAGGCUGAGGUGGGCGGAUCACCUGAGGUCAGGAGUUCGAGGCCAGUCUGGCCAACAUGGUGAAACCACAUCUCUACUAAAAAUACAAAAAUUAGGCUGGGCGUGGUGGCUCACGCCUGUAAUCCCAGCACUUUGGGAGGCCGAGGCAGGUGGAUCACGAGGUCAGGAUAUCGAGACAAUCCUGGCUAACAUGGUGAAACCCCGUCUCUACUGAAAAUACAAAAAGUAGCCGGGCAUGGUGGCAGAUGCCUGUAGUCCCAGCUACUCAGGAGGCUGAGUCAGGAGAAUGGCGUGAACCCAGGAGGUGAAGCUUGCAGUGAGCCGAGAUUGCGCCACUGCACUCCAGCCUGGGCAAUACAGUGAGACUCCGUCUCAAGAAACAAACAAACAAACAAACAAAACAAAAAUUAGUCCGGCGUGGUGGUGGGUGCCUGUAGUCCCAGGUACUCUGGACGUUGAAGCAGGAGAAUUGCUUGAACCCGGGAGGCAGAGGUUGCAGUGAGCCGAGAUCGUGCCACUGCACUCCAGCCUGGGUGACAGAGCGAGACUCUGCCUCAAAAAAAAUAAAAAAUAAAAUAACAAGAGAUAGGGGUCUCACGAUGUUGCCUAGACUGGUCUCAAAAUUCUGGGCUUAAGCAAUCCUCCUGUUUUGGUCCUCCCAAAGUGCUGGGAUUACAGGUGUGAGAAACCACACUUGACCACAGAUACCUAAUUGAUACACAUUUUACAAAGCACUUCAUACAGUUUCACUUGGACAACGAAACCCUGGUAUUAAGCCAAUUUUAGAGAGAUUGUGACUUGGUCAAGGUUGCCAAGUAGGUGAGUCAGAGAGCCUAGAUUAACCCCAGAUGUUGUGGGCGCCAGCAGUUCCUUAUAAUGCUGACCAUCUGGCUGGGUGCGGUGGCUCACAUCUGUAAUCCCAGCAUUUUGGGAGGCUGAGGUGGGCGGAUCAUGAGGUCAGGAGAUUGAGACCAUCCUGUCCAACAUGGUGAAACCGUCCCUACUAAAAAUACAAAAAUUAACUGGGCACAGUGGCACAUGCCUGUAAUCCCAACUACUCAGGAGGCUGAGGCAGGUGAAUUGUUUGAACCCGGGAGGCACUGCAGUGAGCCGAGAUCACACCACUGAACUCCAGCCUGGUGACAGAGCUAGACUCGGUCUCAAUAAUAAUAAUAAUAAUAAUAAUAAUGCUAGACUCUGUCCCAAAAAUAAAAAAAUAAUAAUAAUAAUGCUGACCAUCUAUUUCUUUCACUUUGGGGAAAAUUUUUGUUGAAUUGUUUACAUACAAAAGAGCUGAAAAAUACUUCAGGGAAUGAGUGCUAAGCAUAAAAACCUCCAACUUACUGAAAUGCAACACAUUGAAACACAAAUUCUGCAAGGUUUUAAAUACCUGGAACUCUUUAACUUACUGUUUUCUCUUUUUUUUUUUUUUUUGCUUUUUAUACAGGGUCUUGCUCUGUUGCCCAGGCUGCAGUGCAGUGGCGCAAACAUGGCUCACUACAGCCUUGACCUCUUGGACUCAAGAGAUCCUCUCACCUCAGGCUCCUGAAUAGCUGAGACCAAAAGCGGGCAACACCAUGGCCAGCAAUUGUUUUUUCUUUUUUUUUGAGACAGAGUUUCACUCUUGUAGCCCAGGCUGGAGUGCAAUGGCACAAUCUUGGCCCACUGUAACCUCUGCCUCCCGGGUUCAAGCGAUUCUCCUGCCUCAGCCUCCUGAGUAGCUAGGAUUACAGGCGUACGUCACCACACCUGGCUAAUUUAUUUUUAUUUUUAGUAGAGAUGGGGUUUCACCAUGUUAGCCAGGCUGGUCUUGAACUCCUGACCUCAGGUUAUCUACCCACCUCGGCCUCCCAAAGUGCUGGGAUCACAGGCAUGAGCCACUGUGCCAGGUCUAAUUUGCUUUUUUUUUUUUUUUUUUUUUUUUUGAGAGAAGAGUCUCACUCUGUCACCCAGGCUGGAGUGUAGUAGCACGAUCCUGGCUCACUGCAUCCAGGGUUCAAGCAAUUCUCCUUGCCUCAGCCUGAGUAGCUGAGACUACAAGUGUGUGCCACCAGGCCUGGCUAAUUUUUUUUUUUUUUUUUUUUGAGACAGUCCUGCUCUGUUGCCCAGGCUGGAGUGCAGUGGCACAAUCUCAUCUCACUGCAACCUCUGCUUCCCAGGUUCAAUCAAUUCCCCUGCCUCAGCCUCCCAAGUAGCUGGGAUUACAGGCACCCACCACCAUGCCUUGCUAAUUUUUGUGUUUUUAGUAGAGAUGAGAUUUCACCAUGUUAGCUAGGCUGGUCUCAAACUCCUGAACUCAGGUGAUCCGCCCUCCUCAGCCUCCCAACGUGCUGGGAUUACAGGCAUGAGCCACUGCGCCCUGCCUAAUUUACCAUUAAAAACCUAUUUUCUCCCUCACAUUUCUAAGCUACAGAUUUGACUCUUGCUGGUUUCUAAGGUAUCUUCCAAGAUUGGUUCCAAGGCUCCUAUGGAUAACAAAAAUCCACGGAUGCUCACAUCCCUUACAUAAAAUGCCACAUUAUUUGCAUAUAACCUAUGCAUUUCCUGCUGUAUACUUUAAAUCAUCUCUAGAUUACUUAUAAUACCUAGUAUAACAUAAACAGGAUGUAAAGUUGUUACACUGUAUUGUUUAGGGAAUGACAAGGAAAAUAGUCUACAUGUUUCCUACAAAAAUGACCAUGAAUUUUUCCAAAAAAUUAUUUUGAGACAGGGUCUCACUCUGGGCUGGAGUUCAGUGGUGUGAUCAUAGAUCACUGCAACCUUGAACUGGGCUUCUGUGAUCCCACCUCGGCCUCCCUAGUGGCUGGGACUACAGGUGCAUGCUACUGCACCUGGCUGAUUUAUUUUUUGUAGGGAUCUCACUUUAUUGCACAGACUUCAAAUAUUCUCAAUCCUCGAUUGGCUGAAUCCAUGGACACCAAACUCAGGGAAUUGGAGCGCCAACUGGACAAUCAAUGAAUGCAUCACAAAAUCCUUUCUGACUUUAGGGCAAAAGGCCAGUGCACCUAGAGGAUUAUUCCACACCUUUCUCCUUGUAGCAAUGACUCCUACCAGGGAGUAGGCCUGGCCAGUCACGCUUACAUUUCGUCAUUUUUCUUUGAUUCAAUUUAUUUGAAUCACCACUACACCUGGACACGAGGGACAUCUGAGCAUUAACACUACAGACUCACAGAGGUCCCGAGCCUCCAGGAAAAUUAGCAAAAGUGUCUUCUAUAAACCCAGGAGGGAAUAUGCCGGGGAACUGGCCAGGAGUGAACUGUGCUGAGACCCUCUUUCUGAAAGGGAGCCUCUUUCAGGAACUGAAUGUUUAGGCACUCCAGGAACACAGCUGAUAGGAGGCGAGACAGCAACUGGCUAAUUCCCUCAAUCACCAGCAUUUCACUCACCUGGCAGUGAUGCAGGGCUCUGAAACUCAGAAAAAAAUCAGAAAACAGAACCUACGGAGGCCAGGUGUGGUGGCUCAUGCCUACAAUCCCAGCACUUUGGGAUGCCGAGGCUGGGGGAUCACCUGAGGUCAGGAGUUCUAUACCAGCCUGAUCAACAUAGUGAAACCAUCUCUGCUGCUCACUUCAAAAAAAAAAAAAAAAGACCUGCUGAUCCUUUUGUAGUUAAGUGUGAUGACAGGGUUUUCACACUCAUGAAGUGUGCCUCCCUCAAAACUGGUUGCAUUGACACACUACCCAUCUGACAUGAAAAAAGUGGCCUACUCCAAAUUGAAUUCCAUCCCCUUAAAGUUCUUCCCUAGCACGGAGUGGGGGAUGGCAGUUAGCCUGAGUGUUUUAGGAAGAGGAGGCUACAACACCUUAAACAGAGCAAAAGCACCUUCAGGGGAACUGCAUAUAUUAAGAAUGGUUUUUUAUCUUCAAUCAGGGGCGUCCAAGGGAGAGAAUGCAGUCAUGGGUUUAGUUACAGUUUAUGGUUAGGCCAGUAAAACCCCUUCCUCAUCGCUCUUUUCCACUUAUCACUAGAGACAAACUAUAACUCCAGGCUGCUAAAAGCCUAAAGCAAAAGAAAACAGAACAAAAGGUGGGUUGCACAAGCUUGCUUGGAAACAGUAGAGGAAUAGUGAUACGCAGUGCUGACCUAGCCACAGGGAACCCACCCCAAAUAGACCUAUUCCUGUUUCCUUUAUCAUUCACCUGAUUAAAACAAUGUAUUUUUUUUUUUUUUUUGAGACAGAGUCUUGCUCUGUCAGUGAGUGCAGUGGCAUGGUCUCAGUUCACUGCAACCUCCACCUCCUGGGUUCAAGUGAUUCUCCCGCCUCAGUCUCCCAAGUAGCUGGGAUUACAGGCACAUGCCAGCACGCACAGCUUUAAACAAUAUUUUAAGCAGAGUUUCCUGCUACUGCUCAGCUUACAUAACUCCAGACCCACAGCAGCUAGAACCUUUGAAUUGAGCAGCAUGUUAUGUUUGCAAGUGAGCUACUCCUUAUAUAACCCCUCAGGGAGCUGUCAGAUCUGGGAGGAUGCUAAUUUCAUAACCAGAGACUAUAGACUAAAUGAACCAUACCUUGGAAGAAAAUGACUUUAUUCUAAUUAACUCACAAAGAAUAAAAUCAUAACAUAACAGCUAGUUUAAGGAGGCCACACAAACAUUUGCCCAGUCCCAGAUUCUACAGAGUAGG